rnacentral:lncRNA from 1 species
UUAAAACUUCAUUAUCCAACAGUUUGAGAAGAGAGAUAAAACAGAGUGGCUUCAAUAUCUCUCAUUUCCCCCCAAUUCAACCCAUCGGGCAGAGUCGUCGUCUGGUGGAAUCUGUGAGUUGAGUGCGAUAGUUAUAUAGAAUAGAGAGAGAGAGAGAGAGAGAGAGAGAGAGAUUCUGUGUGAUGGGUGAUGACAGAUCGUCUUCGUCAAUUUUAUUCUACUGUGAUACCAGUCUUUGGCUCUUCCGUCGACGAUGCCGUUUCUUCCAAGCCUUAUUCUUCCGCUUCUUCUGCUCAUCACUCCGGCCGUGAGGUUACUUCUCUUCCGUUUAUUGAUUGCUUUUAAUUAUUUAAAUGAUUUGCCUAAUUUUUUUGAUUUUGAUGAAUUGUUUAUCUGGUUGAGUAUGUAAUUCCUCAUCUCUGUCACUUCCUUCCUUCCCUGUGUACGUGUCCAUAAAGUAAACCAUAGAUUAGUAGAUCUGCAUAUUGUACAUAAAAAAUACCAUAAAGAUUCAGAUAAGAGACAAAUUGAAUUUUGCUCAGAUCAUCUGAAUGAAGCUUUAAAUUUUGUUAGCAGAUACUAGAGAGAGAAAGAGAAGAAGGGUUUUCUUGUGAAAUUAAAAAGGGGAUUCUUGUGAAAUUAAAAACGGUUUUCUUUUCCUUUUGCAUGUACCCAUUGUUGAGUAAAGCUUCAAUUUCGCGUAUAACUUAUAGCAUUUUACAAGUUAAGCAUCAAAAAAAGGAGGGAAAUUGAGUGAUUGGGAGAGAGAAAUGUGUAAUUCGCUGAAAAAUGUUGGAUCAAGAAUUGGUUUCUGGUUGCGCGAAAAAAUUCUCGAUCCUCUGCUCCAAAUCCUGCAAAGGUACUUUUUAAUUUUUAUUUGUUUAUGUGUACUAUGUGUACUAUGUGUUUUUGGGUAAUAGUUAGAUUGUAUCUUUUAGUAAUUAAUAAUGUGUAUCUUUUUUGUUUGUCUAUUUAGUGGCUUGCUAAACUAUCUGAUUCCUUCAUAUAGUAUGUGUAGCCUUGGUGUUAUUUUAUGUUUUUCCUUGUAAAAUUCUAAGGGGUUUGUUGUUAAUUGUUUGGCUGUGGGAAAGAGAUAUUUUUAAAAAUAUUGGUAUAGUUUUCAUUCCAAAUCUUUAAGUUGGAGAUAAGAUUGCAAAUCAUCUAGCUAAUGGGAGCAUUCAUUAAACUUCAAAAUUCAUGUUAGGAUGGAAAGUAGGUAAAAUUCAAGGGAUAAAUCACUGAAGUAAUCUUGUAAGUUAUUGUUUUAACAUUUUGCCCCAGAAAAAUAACUUCCGAACAAAAACCAAAUAACUCAAGAUAAAACAAGAUCAUAGCAGUAUGCAUAUGUAUUAAAAAAAAAUCAAAUAGUAGAACCUAGGCACUAUGCAUAAGUUCUAACAUAUAUCCAUAUCAAAUACUUAUCUCAUCUCCUAAGAACCAUUGUUCUGUACUUGUAAUUACUAAACACAAUAUCAAAGCAAUGCGGAGUAAAUGUGAAUAGGGUGUUAGUGUGCACAAUAUUUAAGUUACAAAGCUUCGAUAACAUCGUAACAGUUCUUUUAGAUUUUAAUUAAGAAGUCAAGAAAAAUUUUAAUGUAACUGUCCCUAGGGUGAAGCCAUGUUUAUACAUUUCUGAGAAUGUCAGGAAAAAUUUUGGCAUGUGAUAUAUUUCAACUCUCAUUAUAAGUUUUCAUCAAUCAAACUCUGUAAGCCGUAUGAUCAUAUAUUUUCAGGUAUACAUUGAAGGAUACUUGGUAUAAACUGUAAAGAAUAUGAGGUUGUUUCUCUAUUGUAUGCAUGUGUAUAUUUUAUGUUCCGUCUUUUGUAAAGUUAACUAAUUAUACAUGGUUAUGAUGAUUUUGGGUAUGAAACUAUGGUUGUUUUGGUGGUUUCAAUAUUUAUUGAUGAUUGUUCUGGAUAUCUAUUUUUAAAGGAAACUCUGUCAAAAUUUAUUGAAAUUAGUAGCGACUAGCUUGAUGUUUUGCUGGUUGGAUAUGUGUUGAUGAUUGAGUAUGUAUAAUUAUUGUGGUUGUAUGAUGAAUUAUGAUAAUUGUUAUGUCUGAUUGUAAGUUAUUUUAAAUUGCAAAUUGUCUUUAGGUAAUGUAUUAAUUUUCGAAUUUUAAUCUAAUUUUUCGUUUCGCCGUGCCUUCAGGCACAUGCAAUUACUAGUAUGCAUAUAAAUUACACGCGUAACACCUGUGCAUGCCCGAUAGACUAGUUAAGUCUAAUGAUCAACCACUAAUUAGAUUAUAUACUGAUGGUGUAUAUAUAAGUAAUGUUAAAAUUAUGACACAAUAUUAAAAUAUAUAAAAGUAUUUUUGUAAAUAAAGUAGAGAUUAGAAUAAUUAGCUUACUUAGAUAUAUAAAAUACAUGCGUGCAAACAUAAAAAGAUGAUCAACCACUAAUUAGUCCAAUUAUAUUUUUUUAUCCAUUGAUGAUCAUGAAGCCUGCAAACAAGCUUCAAUGAAAAAACUUGGAGGAGAAGAAUAGGGAGAGAGAAAAAAGAGAUAAGGAUAAGAUUUUAAUUCAUUAUAUCCUGUAUAUUGUUUUUACUGGAGUAUAUAUGCAACUCAUAACAAAAGAUAGCUAAUAAAUAGAAUAAAUAUCCACCCUACAGAUGGAAAGGUAAUGCAUAAAGAGGAACCUUGAUCAUUUCCUAGCUCAUCCACGUGGGUUCUCUAGUCAUUCUCCUUCACUUUCUUAGCUCAUUCAAUGUUGCUAUUUCCUCCAAUUCAGCUGCUGUACACUCCUCUACUCCUACUUCAGUGUGCUUUGGUUAUAUAUUAGACCCUUUACUUAUUUGAUGUUCAUUGUCUUGUGCACCACUAGCCUCAUGGUUCAUGUUCUCCUGCUCACUGUGUGGACUCAUAAAUCCUUGAUCAAUCUUCUGUUGUCCCUUGUCUGUAACAAUACCCAUCCCAUCAACAGACACCUUGUCCUCAAGGUGUAGGGUAAGAUACAACUGUUUCAGUUGAUGAUAGUCAAGCUAGGUAACUUCUUUUAAGGGUAAGUUUUCCCACUGCACCAGAUAUUGAGUGACCCAAUGAUUGUUCACUUUCUUUUUCCUGUGAUCGAUGACAGCAAUUGGUUGGAGGACAGGUUGAUUAUUGACAGUAUAUGUAGGUAGCGAAGAAAAAGGAAUGUUUGUAUUUCCCACAAAUCGCUUGAGCAUGGCUAUAUGGAAAACAUGAUGAAUUUUAGAAGAUGCUGGAAGUUGUAACUUGUAAGCUACCUUUUCCACCUUUUCAAUGAUGAGGAAAGGUCCAAAGUACCUUUUACUAAACUUCUGAGAGAGUCUGGAUGCAGUACUUUGUUGCCUGUAUGGUUGUAAUUUAACCAACACUAAUUCCCCCACAUUGAAAGCAUAGUCAGUUCUAUGUUUGUCAGCCUUGGUUUUCUUUAGCUGUGCAGACUCUAGAGUAGCCUUUAAGAGUUUGAGUUUUUCAUCUCUAGUCUGUAAAGUGAUGUCAACCGCUUCAACAUGUGUGCUUCCUGGAAUAUAAUUAGCUAAGAUUGGAGGUGGCCUACCAUAUACUGCCUCGAAUGGAGUUUUGUGAAUGACGGAAUGAUAAGAUGAGUUGUAAUGCCACUCAGCUAAUCCUAGAAACUUGUGCCAUAAGUGUGGUGCUUCUGAUAUGAAACACCUCAAAUAUUGCUCCAUGCACUUGUUAACAAUUUCACUUUGUCCAUCAGUUUGUGGGCGGUAUUCAGAAGACAUUUUGAAUGUUGUUCCUUGUAGCAUGAACAAGUUCUGCCAAAACUUGGAUAAAAAAAUUGAAUCUCUAUCACUCACAAUGGUCUUUGGUAUCCCAUGGAGUUUGCCUAUCAUUUCCCAGAAUAGUUGUACCACUUUAGAAGCAGUAUAGGUAGUGGGAAGAGCCCCAAAAUGUGCUGCUUUAGUAAGUCUAUCGACUACUACAAAAAUAGUGGUGUAUCCUUGUGAUGGGGGUAAGUGUGUAAUAAAAUCCAUGCUCACUUCUUCCCAAACUUCUUGUGGAAUUUCCAGGGGUUGCAGUAACCCAUAAGGACUGA